UACGUAGGGGGCUAGCGUUGUCCGGAAUCAUUGGGCGUAAAGCGCGCGUAGGCGGUCCGGUAAGUCCGCUGUGAAAGUCGGGGGCUCAACCCUCGAAUGCCGGUGGAUACUGUCGGGCUAGAGUGCGGAAGAGGCGAGUGGAAUUCCUGGUGUAGCGGUGAAAUGCGCAGAUAUCAGGAGGAACACCAAUUGCGAAGGCAGCUCGCUGGGACGUAACUGACGCUGAGACGCGAAAGCGUGGGGAGCAAACAGG
rnacentral:rRNA from 1 species